rnacentral:rRNA from 1 species
UCCUCCAAGGCUAAAUACUCCUGAUUGACCGAUAGUGAACCAGUACUGUGAAGGAAAGGCGAAAAGAACCCCGGUGAGGGGAGUGAAAUAGAACCUGAAACCCUGUACGUACAAGCAGUGGGAGCCCGCAAGGGUGACUGCGUACCUUUUGUAUAAUGGGUCAGCGACUUAUAUUUUGUAGCGAGGUUAACUGAAUAAGGGAGCCGAAGGGAAACCGAGUCUUAACUGGGCGAAGAGUUGCAAGGUAUAGACCCGAAA